rnacentral:rRNA from 1 species
AAUGAACGCUGGCGGCAUGCCUAACACAUGCAAGUCGAACGAAGCCUUCGGGCUUAGUGGCGCACGGGUGCGUAACGCGUGGGAAUCUGCCCUUGGGUUCGGAAUAACUCUCCGAAAGGAGUGCUAAUACCGGAUGAUGUCGAAAGACCAAAGAUUUAUCGCCCAGGGAUGAGCCCGCGUAGGAUUAGCUAGUUGGUGAGGUAAAAGCUCACCAAGGCGAUGAUCCUUAGUUGGUCUGAGAGGAUGAUCAGCCACACUGGGACUGAGACACGGCCCAGGCUCCUACGGGAGGCAGCAGUGGGGAAGAUUGGACAAUGGGCGAAAGCCUGAUCCAGCAAUGCCGCGUGAGUGAUGAAGGCCUUAGGGUUGUAAAGCUCUUUUACCCGGGAUGAUAAUGACAGUACCGGGAGAAUAAGCCCCGGCUAACUCCGUGCCAGCCGCCGCAGUAA